rnacentral:tRNA from 1 species
GGGUCCAUAGCUCAGCCUGGUAGAGCACUCGGCUCUUAACCGAGUGGUCGGGGGUUCGAAGCCCUCUGGACCCG